rnacentral:rRNA from 1 species
UGGAGCUUAACGAUAGGGCUUAAAAAUGCAAGUCGAGGGGCAUCGAAGGGUAGCAAUACCUGUCGGCGACCGGCGCACGGGUGAGAAACGCGUAUGUAACCUGCCCGCAACAGAGGGAUAACCCGGCGAAAGUCGGACUAAUACCUCAUAAAACAGGGGUUCCGCAUGGGGCUAUUUGUUAAAGAUUUAUUGGUUGCGGAUGGGCAUGCGUACCAUUAGGUAGUUGGUGAGGUAACGGCUCACCAAGCCAUCGAUGGUUAGGGGUUCUGAGGGGAAGGUCCCCCACACUGGUACUGAGACACGGACCAGACUCCUACGGGAGGCAGCAGUGAGGAAUAUUGGUCAAUGGGCGAGGGCCUGAACCAGCCAAGUCGCGUGAAGGAUGACUGCCCUAUGGGUUGUAAACUUCUUUUACAGGGGAAUAAAAUGAGAUACGUGUAUUUUAUUGCAUGUACCUUGCGAAUAAGCAUCGGCUAACUCCGUGCCAGCACCCGCGGUAAUACGGAGGAUGCGAGCGUUAUCCGG